AGAGUUUGAUCAUGGCUCAGAGCGAACGCUGGCGGCAGGCCUAACACAUGCAAGUCGAGCGCCGUAGCAAUACGGAGCGGCAGACGGGUGAGUAACGCGUGGGAACGUGCCCUUCGGUUCGGAAUAACUCAGGGAAACUUGAGCUAAUACCGGAUACGUCCGAGAGGAGAAAGAUUUAUCGCCGAAGGAUCGGCCCGCGUAAGAUUAGCUAGUUGGUGAGGUAACGGCUCACCAAGGCUCUGAUCUUUAGCUGGUCUGAGAGGACGAUCAGCCACACUGGGACUGAGACACGGCCCAGACUCCUACGGGAGGCAGCAGUGGGGAAUAUUGGACAAUGGGCGCAAGCCUGAUCCAGCCAUGCCGCGUGAGUGAUGAAGGCCUUAGGGUUGUAAAGCUCUUUUGGCAGGGACGAUAAUGACUGUACCUGCAGAAUAAGCCCCGGCCAACUUCGUGCCAGCAGCCGCGGUAAUACGAAGGGGGCUAGCGUUGCUCGGAAUCACUGGGCGUAAAGCGCACGUAGGCGGGUCGUUAAGUCGGGGGUGAAAUCCUGGAGCUCAACUCCAGAACUGCCUUCGAUACUGGCGAUCUUGGAGUCCGGGAGAGGUGGGUGGAACUGCGAGUGUAGAGGUGAAAUUCGUAGAUAUUCGCAAGAACACCAGUGGCGAAGGCGGCUCACUGGCCCGGUACUGACGCUGAGGUGCGAAAGCGUGGGGAGCAAACAGGAUUAGAUACCCUAGUAGUCC
rnacentral:rRNA from 1 species